UUCAUUAAAACUUUCCGGACA
rnacentral:piRNA from 1 species